rnacentral:rRNA from 1 species
UUUCAUGAGAUGUUGGGUUAAGUCCCGCAACGAGCGCAACCCUUGAUCUUAGUUGCCAGCAUUCAGUUCUGCACUCUAAGGUGACUGCCGGUGACAAACCGGAGGAAGGUGGGGAUGACGUCAAAUCAUCAUGCCCCUUAUGACCUGGGCUACACACGUGCUACAAUGGACAGAACAAAGGGCAGCGAAACCUGCGAGGUUAAGCCAAUCCCACAAAUCUGUUCUCAGUUCGGAUCGCAGUCUGCAACUCGACUGCGUGAAGGAGGAAUCGCUAGUAAUCGCGGAUCAGCAUGCCGCGGUGAAUACUUUCCCCCGGGCCUUUGGA